rnacentral:rRNA from 1 species
UACGUAGGGGGCUAGCGUUGUCCGGAAUCAUUGGGCGUAAAGAGCGUGUAGGCGGCUCGGUAAGUCCGCUCUGAAAGUCCAAGGCUCAACCUUGGGAUGCGGGUGGAUACUGCCGGGCUCGAGUCCGGAAGAGGCGAGUGGAAUUCCUGGUGUAGCGGUGAAAUGCGCAGAUAUCAGGAGGAACACCAAUGGCGAAGGCAGCUCGCUGGGACGUGACUGACGCUGAGACGCGAAAGCGUGGGGAGCGAACAGG